rnacentral:rRNA from 1 species
CUUCCGUAGGGUGACCUGCGGAAGGAUCAUUACCGAGUGUAGGGUUCCUAGCGAGCCCAACCUCCCACCCGUGUUUACUGUACCUUAGUUGCUUCGGCGGGCCCGCCAUUCAUGGCCGCCGGGGGCUCUCAGCCCCGGGCCCGCGCCCGCCGGAGACACCACGAACUCUGUCUGAUCUAGUGAAGUCUGAGUUGAUUGUAUCGCAAUCAGUUAAAACUUUCAACAAUGGAUCUCUUGGUUCCGGCAUCGAUGAAGAACGCAGCGAAAUGCGAUAACUAGUGUGAAUUGCAGAAUUCCGUGAAUCAUCGAGUCUUUGAACGCACAUUGCGCCCCCUGGUAUUCCGGGGGGCAUGCCUGUCCGAGCGUCAUUGCUGCCCAUCAAGCACGGCUUGUGUGUUGGGUCGUCGUCCCCUCUCCGGGGGGGACGGGCCCCAAAGGCAGCGGCGGCACCGCGUCCGAUCCUCGAGCGUAUGGGGCUUUGUCACCCGCUCUGUAGGCCCGGCCGGCGCUUGCCGAACGCAAAUCAAUCUUUUCCCAGGUGACCUCGGAUCAGGUAGGGAU